AAUUCUAAAAAAGUUUAAAAAUUACCGAAGAAACGAUCUUCAACCUAGGCAAGCUCCACAAAAAGUUUGGACAAGAUUUUUAAUUCCUAUUAUAAAUUAGCAUAACCAAAAUUUAUAUUUGGUCUUACAAAACAAAAGCAGGCCAGAUGAUUUCCUAAUAGAACCAAGAAUAAAAUUCUGUGUACCUUUUGAGAGGGGGAGAUAGAGGAAAGAUUUUUCAUCCAACCACCCAAAUUCCUAGAACCUAAAAGGCAUUAAACCAGCUCAAACAAUAACUGUUUUUCACAACUGUUUAUCCAGCUUAUUGAACUUAGAAAUUUGAAAAAUUAUGAUGAAUAAAUUAACUUUUGAUCACGUGAUAAACGAUCCAGAAAGGGCUUUCUUCUCCAUAUAAAUUAAGGGAAGUAACAUGUGCCUGUUGAUUAUGGUUUCCACGGCUAAUCAUAGUCAGUAAAAUUAGAGAGCGGUUGUGCUGCACAAGCAAACCCAUGUGAACCAGAUCCUUGUUCAAGAUUUAUUGCAAAGUAUUGAAACAAUGUGAUAAGUUGAACUACUACUUUUAAUGGAAUUGGAACCUACAAAUUGAAUCAGAAUGAACAAGAAAGCAUUCCCUAUUCCUGCCUAUAUUGAUGGUUAUGCAGUUUUUAUUGUUGGGAUACAUCCCCACACUUACACCCCUCUCCAUCAAUCUAUCAUUGACCUACAAGGACACUAAACUUGCAUUCAAUAGGAAUUUUAUUUUCACUUAUUUAUAUGACAAAUUAAACCUUGGAUGCAGCUGUUACUUUAGCAAGAAAGCUAACAAUGAAAAACAAAACAUAACUUCCACACAGCUCCAUCAAAAGGACAAACGCAGCAUGUCUUUUGGAACUCUUUUUUUUUUUUUUCCCAA